AGCGGAGGCAAGGGGGUUUUGCUGGAGAUCCCCGCCCACCUGAAGACUUCUAAAGAUGUGACAAAUAUCGAAGGAAUUUGUUUUUUAAAGCCUGUUUUGAUUGAAAUCACACACAAACCUGCUCAUGCUUGGGGCCUUCCUGCUCUGUUUGUUUCUUUAACUUGCAGCUCUCCAUUGGAGUGGUUCCCUGUGGUGGGUAGGAUGGAGAUGUGGUAUUUGAGGGCGCCUGUGCCGUGCUAUGCCAUUCCACGCCGUGCUGUCUUGUGCUGUGCCAAGCUGUGCCAUGCUAUACAAUGCUGGCAGCAGAGAUGGAGGCUUGGUAAUGCAGCCCCACUGCACAUUGGGGAGUGAUGGCCCAGUGUAGGUCCAAUGAAG
ensembl:lncRNA